CUACGGGUUGCUGCAGUGGGGAAUCUUAGACAAUGGGCGCAAGCCUGAUCUAGCCAUGCCGCGUGAGUGACGAAGGCCUUAGGGUCGUAAAGCUCUUUCGCUGGGGAAGAUAAUGACGGUACCCAGUAAAGAAACCCCGGCUAACUCCGUGCCAGCAGCCGCGGGUAAUACGGAGGGGGUUAGCGUUGUUCGGAAUUACUGGGCGUAAAGCGCGCGUAGGUGGAUCAGAAAGUUGGGGGUGAAAUCCCGGGGCUCAACCCCGGAACUGCCUUCAAAACUCCUGGUCUUGAGUUCGAGAGAGGUGAGUGGAAUUCCGAGUGUAGAGGUGAAAUUCGUAGAUAUUCGGAGGAACACCAGUGGCGAAGGCGGCUCACUGGCUCGAUACUGACGCUGAGGUGCGAAAGCGUGGGGAGCAAACAGGAUUAGAUACCCCCGUAGUC
rnacentral:rRNA from 1 species